UGUACUAGAUGCUCUUUGACAGAGAACACUGAACAAAAUAAGCUGACAAUUCAAUGCAGUAUGAUCAUCCUUAUCAGUACAAGAAUAUUACUUUUAAUUACUUUAUUUGAAAAUGGCAGUAACAGCCUAUUAACCUGGAAAUUAACUCUGGACAACUGUUCCUAUGAGCGUUAGCUCCCUGGUUAUGCCAGGAUCCAAGGUCCAUGAACAACAGGCAACACCUUCAUUGAUUCAACCUGGUGCUUGUAUAUCUGCUCUGUUUUACAAGGCAUUUGAGUCCAUUCAAUAGCAGCAGCCACCAGGUUACACCAAGUAGAAGACAACACUAUUUCCCAUCAAGCUUGUCAUUUCAACAAUGCAUUUUAAACAACCUGCUAUGUAGUGCAAGAGG